AGGCUAUAGCGCUACGGACAUAUCGACGGCGGUGUUUGGCACCUCGAUGUCGGCUCAUCACAUCCUGGGGCUGAAGUAGGUCCCAAGGGUAUGGCUGUUCGCCAUUUAAAGUGGUACGCGAGCUGGGUUUAGAACGUCGUGAGAC
rnacentral:rRNA from 1 species